GACGAUCAUACCGGUCUGUCAGCUGUUUGUGUUUACGGCGACCAAGGAGGAGAUACAUCAGGUGGUGGUGAUGAUAGCGGAGCUGGAAUGUGCGUCUGGCCGGCAGGUUAUGGAGGUGCACACAGAUCGUGGCGGGAGUUUGUGAAUACUCACACGAAGAGCUACUUCGCAUCCAGGGGUAUUUUGCACAGAACUACGGUGGGUUAUACUUCUGAGCAGAACGGAGCAGCUGAACGGUUACAUCGCACUCUUCUAGACAAGACCAGGGCUAUGCUCCUUGACUCCGGACUGCCGAAGUCAUUGUGGGCGGAAGCCUUGGUGACAGUGAAUUACCUCCGGAAUGUGUCGCCAAUUGCUGGGUCGACCGUCACGCCGUAUGAGGCAUUCUUCAACGUACGUCCGAACGUCAGUCACCUUCGAGUUUUUGGGUGUGUCGCCUACGUCCACGUACCCGGCGCUAAAACGUGGCAAACUCGAUCCGGUGAGGAGACGGGAAUCCUAGUCAGAUACGGGAACAGAGGGCAGUACCGCGUGCUGUGCGUUCGUUUUGAUGAGUCUAAUGUCGGCCGGCGGUGGUGAAAUGCCGGGGACUCUGAUUAUGAGUCCAAUGCCGACGAGGAGGAGGAUUCACACACUAGAUUGCCUGGUGAACUGUCCUUACUCUAACGAAACUGUCCUUACUCUAACCUGAGGUAAAUUGGUGGCAAGGGGAUUUGACCUCGAGCCCUCAUGAGACUAUUGGGGAGACUUACCCCUAAACCUUAUGGGAGUGCCAAUGCAUGUCCGAUAGUUAUGUGGUCGACAUUUGGGCACCGCCAGGAUGGUGCAGCGAGAUCACGGAAUGUACGAGGGCGACCCAAGAAUUUUCCGCUGGCGCCGGCAUUUAGGGUGGUGCAUGUCUCUCUCUCUUACUUCUAUAGAGCGGUAUUCCAUACAGGAAGUCCCGCCGAUCGCUACUCUAACAAUUUUACAUUACUUUUGUAACAUUUUUUUUUGUAAUGUUACAGAGUGGGAGGCUUCUGGGCCGCUUUAUCACAUUGUCAGUUCAUUUAUUUUUAGAUCAUUUAUCACCUUAUAGCACCAUCCACCACUGCCACACUGUCUUUGCCAUACGAACUGUAAGUCCAAGGCGGCGGAUCCAGCCUUCAGGGACCCCUCCUCAUCCAUUCACCCGAACACCCAAAGAGACGGAGGAUUCGGCAAUCGCCACCAAUCCAGCGUGCGAUUCUGGUCCAUCAGCUGUGACCUCAACUCCACAUCUCAGCAGCUAGCCAUAAUCUCGCGCACCCGACUAAUUCGGGGUUCUCCUCAGGAAUCGAACCCAGGACCUUAAACCGCUAAUUGCAGUAGUGUCAACCCAGACCAGACCAUUUUAAUUGUGUCCAAUCUCUUCACCGGCACUCCUCUUCCGAAACAAGAAUCAGCGUCAGCUGCCACCACAGUCGAUUCUCCAACAGGUUAUGAGCCCCGGGUAGCGCAGGCCGCUGCUCCCACCGCUCGCCUUGGGCGGGCAGACUUAGGUGCAAGCAUAUUGUGCAGCUGCACAACAUCGACCAGCUCCAGUUCACCGUCCUGAUAAAGCACCUCGAAGAAGUGCUUCCUGCCUUGUUUACCGACAUAGGUAGCCACACCGGUUCUUGGGCCCGGAAUGAGAUUCAAAUACACGUGACCCUUGUAAUUCGGCAAGAUAUUGUGGAGGAACAGGCUUAGUGCUGAUGCGAAGGGUUGCCGUGUCGCCCUGUGGCCUGCUUGGGUAUCUUGUCAGGCUGUCGUGAGUGACAGCUGUGGCCGGUCUGAGGUCGCAUGUUAGACUGAGUAACAUCUUUGGACCUGUCUCGGGAGGCCCGUCAAAACGGCUAUUAGGUUCUAGCGUACUGAUAGCUCUCGUCCUUCGGGAUAGGCUUUCCAAGCCUUUAUAAGUCUCUGUUGUUUAUCGGUAACAGUACCUCAGAUUCACACGUUUACGCCUAGGCAAAGGGGCUUUCGGUGGUAGGUCGCGGAUCUCCCGAAUACGUGUAACGGCUAAUGUCUCCUUAGUCGUGUCUGCUAGGUCCCUGUGAGAUAGCGUCUCACCAACAGUGCUGGAUUUAUUGGAAUCACUACCAGAGUUAGCUAAAGAUCGUGAGUUAAUUUGUGCCACGGUGAUGCCUUUAGGAAGACAAUUAGGACACACCGUCAGGGAUUUGUUUGAGAGGCGGUUUCAGGCAAUAAGUAUGCCAGCCCGUCCCACAGCUAUCACAGAGAAGCAUCCACUCUUCCCCAUCAGGCAUUUUGCAAAUCUCACAGGACAAAUUUGCAUGAGGUCGGGACAAGCGAGGAUCGAUAACUGUUGGAAAUGACCGACACUCAUAUACCAGUGAAUGGUAGCCACAGUAAUAGGACCCAACGGGGGUCUGGCGCUUUGCUGGUCUUAACAGGUUAUGAGCCCCGAAUGGCGCAUCGCACUGCCGAGAGGUCGCCGGAUUGAUAUCCACUGGCUGUUGCCCAGAGAAUGGGAGACCGGGAUGAGGCACGGGAAGGCCCGGAGCGAGAGAGUGUCGCUCACGGAGGGGUGAUGGAAAUGACUGACACUCAUAACCUGUUAAGAAUAUGAAGACAAGGACUGGCAAGACUGGUCGCGAUAUAGGAGUUACAGUCUGUGGGUUAAUGGUGAACGGCAGGACUUAGGAGAUUCCUGUUAAGGAAUACCGAUCCAUCCGAAGAUGAGAUAGAAAGGCAUGCUCAACUCUUGCCUUAUGUACCGAUACCAACGGAAGUAUCUAUAUUGAAGAAUUGGCGACGGUGACGGCUAACGCUGAUUGUUAUUCCGGAAGGAUUGCCGGUGGCGAAGAUAUUAAGCACGAUAAACUGUUACAAGUAAUGUAAAGAGUAUUAUUAGCGUUCGGCAGGACUUGAGGAGAUUCCUAUGAGGAAUACCGAUCGUAGUGAGAUAAACAAAUAAGCGCAGUCACCGCCCUAAAUACCGGCGCUAGCGGAAAACUCGUACAUUCCGCGAUCUAACUGUAAUGUAAUGUAAUGUUACAGAGUGGGAGGCUUCUGGGCCGCUUUAUCACAUUGUCAGUUCUACGAUCAUUUAUCACCUUAUAGCACCAUCCACCACUACCACACUGUCUUCGCCAUACGAACUGUAAGUCCAAGGCGGCGGAUCCAGCCUUCAGGGACCCCUCCUCAUCCAUUCACCCGAACACCCGGAGAGACGGAGGGUUCGGCAAUCGCCACCAAUCCAGCGUGCGAAUCUGGUCCAUCAACUGUGACCUCAACUCCACAUCUCAGCAGCUAGCCAUAAUCUCGCGCUCCCGACUAAUUCGGGGGUCUCCCCAGGAAUCGAACCCAGGACCUUAAACCGCUAAUUGCAGUAGUGUCAACCCAGACCAGACC
rnacentral:lncRNA from 1 species